AACAGACUCUCAGGGACUGCAGAUAUUGAAAACAGCAGGGAGAUCCUCAGCACAGGGACUCCUCACUGAGUGUGCGCAGAGGCAGAGUUCCAGCUCGGAAGUUUUGGCAUGGACUGGAGAGUAAAAAAUUGACAGCAGAUUUGAAAAACAAGGGAAGAGAAUAUCUCGGAGUUCAACGGAUCAUCUUGGAAGAGAUUAGGAGAAGGGCAGAAGUCCUCAUUAGCGGAAGGACCUUUCAGAAGAAGCCAGGAGCUCUGCCCACUGUGAGUGGCACACUUCCCACCUGGGAUCCCGGACUGUAUAAACCAAGAGAAGGUAUGCGGCAGACCCAUGCACCCCUCAUCUGCCGCCUCAUGACUUAGACAGGACAUGACCAGUUGCUUCACGUCCCUCUUGCUGUGAAUUCCCUGCCAUGAUGUCCUGUAUCCUUGAAUAAACCUUCCAUUGCUUC
rnacentral:lncRNA from 1 species